rnacentral:rRNA from 1 species
AGGUGCGAUCAUACCAGCACUAAUGCACCAGAUUCCAUCCGAACUCCGAAGUUAAACGUGCUUGGGCGAGAGUAGUACUAAGAUGGGUGACCUCUUGCGAAGUUCUCGUGUUGCACCCC